UGGCUGAGCUGUGAUGGCGAGCGAAAUAUAGUAGCGAAGUUCCUGAUUCCACACUGCCAAGAAAAGCCUCUAGCGAGGUGAGAGGUGCCCGUACCGCAAACCGACACAGGUAGGCGAGGAGAGAAUCCUAAGGUGAUCGAGAGAACUCUCGUUAAGGAACUCGGCAAAAUGACCCCGUAACUUCGGGAGAAGGGGUGCUCUGUUAGGGUGCAAGCCCGAGAGAGCCGCAGUGAAUAGGCCCAGGCGACUGUUUAGCAAAAACACAGGUCUCUGCGAAGCCGUAAGGCGAAGUAUAGGGGCUGACGCCUGCCCGGUGCUGGAAGGUUAAGAGGAGCGCUUAGCGUAAGCGAAGGUGCGAAUUGAAGCCCCAGUAAACGG
rnacentral:rRNA from 1 species